UGAAUUCGUGGGGUUUAGAGCCCGGCACAGUUAUUUCCCAGGUUUGUUUUUGGAAUAAUUUUUUGUAGGUCACUUUCGGGAGUGACUCCUGAGUGGAUGCGGGGGAGAACACUCGCCCUCCCUGCGUUUAUAAAACCUGGAUCACUGGAGGGAUCAGCAAAUCAAAUAAGUACUUUAAAUAAAGUCUUUUUGUUGUUAUGAGAGAAAAAUUGAACACAGAAUCUUCAGGUCUGGAUUGUUUGUGUGCAGGUCGUUGGGCUGCUCACCCUUCACAGUCCCUGGCCCAUGAUGUGCCCUCGGCCACCUCUGUCAUCUCUAGCUGGAUAACAGAAGCCUUCCAAGUGCUGCGAUGGAGUUCCUCAGUCCCUCUGCCCUGGCGCUUUCCUUCCCGGGCACUCAUCUCCUCUGAGCUGGGGAAGUCAGGGCUGCAUCCAUGAAAACGUGUGUCAUGCAGAGGAGAAACAGACCCUGUGGGUGCAUCUGAAAUGAGACCCUGGCUGAAGCUCCCAUCAGCAAUGAGACUGAUCAAGCACUGCAUGCAUCUGACAGCCAGCUUGGCACUGCCUCGCCACAUGCAGCAGCUGGGCUCCAGUGGUUUUAGUACGCAAGUAGGUCUGAAAAACAUAUUAAUUUUUAAUUAAAUGUUUAAAUAUCAAGUUUAGAAGGUCUCCUUAAGGCGUGUGUCAGUAAUAUGUGUGCUACUGUGAUUAAGGAGGUAGGUCUUAAGCUAUGCACUGUCGGUAAGCAAACUAAAACUCUCUAAUGAGAAUAAAAAAAUGUAUAUAUACAUGUGUAGAUGUGUGUGUGUGUGUAUAUAUGUAUAUUUUUAAAGACAGACAUCUGGCACAAGUAAUGUCUUUGCAGUAGUGAGAGCCUCCUGCCUUGCUCCAGUUUGCAUUCGGUGCUAUGGCAGUUUCAAAGACCUUGAUGGCCGGGGCAGGGGCACACAGCAGGAGGAAGUCACAGAUGUUGGUGCAAAGAGUUUCGAUCAGAAGGGAAAAUCCUAAAAAUAAUGUCAUAAGCUAAUGCUGAUACGCAUGGAAAGAGCUCAGCAGUUACAUAAAGGAUUGGUUGGUCUGGUGUAGACUUCUAUGCAGGGAAGGCUGGCUGGGAUAUUUUUUAAUAUUUUUUUUUGGUGUCAAAUAUCUAGGAAAGAGGGGAGAAGUAGAAGACAUGAAGAGUGAGACAGAGUGUGUUAAUGGUUUGAGCUGUGCAGAGAUAUGACUAGAAAAUUAAUCUUCCCUAUGGGAAGAAUUGUAUCUAUUUCACCACAGGGUUUUUUUCAGCUAUUUAGCCCUCUUCAGGCUGUACUGGCUUCCUAGUGAGUGCUUUAAGAGUCUGGCAGAAGGUAUGCAGAGCCAGACUUUGAUGCUCCUCUCUUCUUUCUGGAUGCUUUCCUGCAAAUGCUGAAAAGCAACUCUGGAAUAUCAUAGAAUUUCUUCUCAUAGUCAUCUAUACAUAUUUCCUUGUUAGUAAGCACCAUAUGUCACUCUUUAAACAGCCCAGUACUGUAUUUACUGAGACCUGAGUGUAUGUGGUAACACCACAGCUCCUGUAUAUGAUGUACCAGCUAUACAUUACACACAAUUUCAAUAAACAAGUCACUUUUAAUCAUUUCUCCCCCAUUCAGAAAUGCAUUUAUAUAUGUGUUCUCCUGCCCACGAUGAAGAAGUGUUUGAAAUAUGUUAUUAAGGGUAACAGAUGUAUUUGAAUAAGGGCUUUUUUUUAUGUCUGACUGUUCAUUGGGAUAAG